GGAGAAUGGGACGGUGGUUCAGAUCUGCUGAUGUAGCUGUGGUCAGUCACUGGGGAGAAUAGGCCUGUGGAUUUCUGCUCCUCUGAGAUGGAUCCAUCACUGACUACUGAACUUGUUUUCUCAUUGGCUCAACUUAAGAAGGUUCUAGAGGGAACUGACUUCUUCCUCCUCAUGGUCCACUUGAAAUUCCAGGAAAAGGAACAGAUGUGCAAGGAAUUGCAGCCUGGAGAAACAUAGUGUAUUUGGAGACUUGCAUGUAAAUGGAUAAGUAGGUGUAGGAGGAGAAGCUGGGUCACAUUUUCCUAAAUUUUAUUCCACAAAACACUAGUUCUGUGAGACGCUCUAUGGAAAUUGGUCCCAUGAUCAGUACAUUUGGGGCAUGCUGCAUGUUGUAUUCCCUGUUGUCUUAUAUUGGAUUUCCUAAAAAUAGACUCUGAGGUGGAGACUUAUGUGCAGAAGGUCUCUUGGCGAAUGCUCCAGGGAGGCGUGCGUGUAAGGAAGUGAGACAGACCCACCUCAGGCCCCUGGGACUUCCACUGGCCAGACGCCCUGUGCCUACUUGUGUCAUGGGAUACAGGGCCCAUCUCUUCCCAUCUCCACACUCUGACCACACGCUAGUAGCUUGAAAUCAGCCAUGGUGCAACUAUUGGCAUCACAAAAAUGGACAAAUGCUUCAAACUGGGGCCUGACUUAUUGUUUUGUUGAUUGCCAGGCUUAAAAAGUGAUGGAAAGGAUGCUAAUAAUGCAUAUUAAACCAAAAAAGUGCGUCAUGUCUGUAGCUGUGACAUUGUGAAUAGCACAAGCAUUGAGGUUACAUGCUUCUGAUAUUUGAAAACCCUUAUUGGAUUCAACAAAGAAUUCACUCAUGUCAUUGUCUAUCAGGUGAAGCUCUGAUGCACAUUUUUUGCUUUCACUUUUGCCUUAUUCAUUAAUAUAAACAGAAUGUCAAUCAACCUUCAUGUUGUGUCUACGCUCAAUCAUCCCUGAUGACCCUACGCUGACUACAGAUGCAGAAUUCAGCAAAAACCAAUGAAAGCAUUCGGUGAGAAUCAAUGGCUAUAUGGAGCUUACAAUAAACCGU
rnacentral:lncRNA from 1 species